CCGUAUCCGAGCUUCAAAUAUAUAUGACAUAAGCAAUUGUGGCACUGUUAGGGAGAGCAUAUGGAAACAGCUUAUGACCUAUCCAAAAGUUGUUUUCAGCUUAUUUUCAUAAGCUCUCAAUGAUAACUUUUGAAAAUAUUUUUGAUAAGUAGUUACAUGAAAAUAUUUUUGAUUUUAUUAUAUCUUUUAUUAUAGAAGUACUUUAUGCAUAGGUACUUAUAUGAUAAGCACUUAUGCUAUGAGUGUUUAUUAAGUUGUUUAUCCAAAAGGGUCUACAGAAUAUCAGUGUAUUUAUUGAUCGGCUCAUUCAAAAUUUAUGAUAAGUGCUGAAUUUCAUGAUGUCUUUCUCUUUUUUUGGCUCAAUUUCGUGAGAUAUGAAGCAAUAUUCUUGGUGGUACUGC
rnacentral:lncRNA from 1 species